GCCCGCUCAGAAACUUAAGGACUUGACGGGGCCCGCACAAGCGGUGGAGCAUGUGGUUUAAUUCGAUGAUACGCGAGGAACCUUACCUGGGCUCAAAUGUAUGUUGACGUAUUCUGAAAGGGAUACUUCUUCGGACAAUAUACAAGGUGCUGCAUGGUUGUCGUCAGCUCGUGCCGUGAGGUGUCGGGUUAAGUCCCAUAACGAGCGCAACCCCUAUCAUUAGUUGCCAUCAGGUCAAGCUGGGGACUCUAAUGAAACUGCCUACGCAAGUAGUGAGGAAGGUGGGGAUGACGUCAAAUCAGCACGGCCCUUACGUCCAGGGCUACACACGUGCUACAAUGGCCGGUACAAAGGGCAGCUACCUGGUGACAGGAUGCUAAUCUCAAAAGCCGGUCUCAGUUCGGAUCGGAGUCUGCAACCCGACUCCGUGAAGCUGGAUUCGCUAGUAAUCGCGCAUCAGCCACGGCGCGGUGAAUACGUUCCCGGGCCUU
rnacentral:rRNA from 1 species